AACCACUUGCAUGACAGGUUGGAUCACAGAAACUCCCUCAAGAUUGUCACUAGAUGUGCUGGGAUACUACUGAGAACAAACCCUCUGCCAGAAGAGGCUU